rnacentral:rRNA from 1 species
GGGUUGUGAGGUUAAGCGACUAAGCGUACACGGUGGAUGCCCUGGCAGUCAGAGGCGAUGAAGGACGUGCUAAUCUGCGAAAAGCGUCGGUAAGGUGAUAUGAACCGUUAUAACCGGCGAUGUCCGAAUGGGGAAACCCAGUGUGAUCCGUCACACUAUCGUUAACUGAAUACAUAGGUUAAC